UUAAAUGGCCGCAGUAUUUUGACUGUGCUAAGGUAGCAUAAUCAUUAGUUUUUUAAUUGAAAGCUGGAAUGAAGGGUUGGAUGAAAAAAAAACUGUCUCUAAUUAAUUUUUAUGGAAUUUUAUUUUUAAGUUAAAAAGCUUAAAUAAAGUUAAAAGACGAGAAGACCCUAUAGAGUUUAAAAAUUACUUUAAUUUUAUUAUUUAGAAUUAAUAUAUUAAAUUAAAUUAAUUUUUUAAUUGGGGUGAUUAAAAAAUUUAAUAAACUUUUUUUAUAUUUUUAUAUUUAUAUAUAAAUAUUUGAUCUAAUUAUUUUGAUUAAAAGAUUAAAUUACCUUAGGGAUAACAGCGUAAUUUUAUUGGAGAGUU
rnacentral:rRNA from 1 species